GCCCCUGUAGUUAAAUGGAUAUAACAGCGGACUUCUAAGCCGCGAUUGGGGGUUCGAUUCCCUCCGGGGGCG
rnacentral:tRNA from 1 species